AUGCUUCCUUCAGCAGCACAUAUACUAAACUUGGAAUGAUACAGAGAAGAUUAGCAUGGCCCCCGUGCAGGAAUGGCAUCCAAAUUUGUAAAGCAUUUCAUAUUUUU